rnacentral:rRNA from 1 species
GACGAACGCUGGCGGCGUGCUUAACACAUGCAAGUCGAACGGAAAGGCCCUGCUUGCAGGGUACUCGAGUGGCGAACGGGUGAGUAACACGUGGGUGAUCUGCCCUGCACUUCGGGAUAAGCCUGGGAAACUGGGUCUAAUACCGGAUAGGAGCCAUUUUUAGUGUGAUGGUUGGAAAGUUUUUUCGGUGUAGGAUGAGCUCGCGGCCUAUCAGCUUGUUGGUGGGGUAAUGGCCUACCAAGGCGGCGACGGGUAGCCGGCCUGAGAGGGUGGACGGCCACAUUGGGACUGAGAUACGGCCCAGACUCCUACGGGAGGCAGCAGUGGGGAAUAUUGCACAAGGGGCGCAAGCCUGAUGCAGCGACGCCGCGUGGGGGAUGACGGCCUUCGGGUUGAAAACUCCUUUCGCUAGGGACGAAGCUUUUUGUGACGGUACCUAGAUAAGAAGCACCGGCUAACUACGUG